rnacentral:lncRNA from 1 species
AAGGGAAGAAACACACCAGAGCCCCAGGAGUUCAGUGUGGACAGUCACCUUGCUCACAAACGCUGUGCGUCUGCAGCUGGUCCAGAGAGUGGAGAGGGAGCCUUGGGUCUCAGCCCCCACAGUUUCUUGUUUUUUCUCUCCUCUCAGCGUCAAGUGGAGCCGAGAGGGAGGAGCAGCAGGAGCAGGAAGAAAAGGGGAGCUUUGAAAGCUUACAGAGCUGGCCGGAAGGACCUGGCAGAAGUGGGGGGCCUGAGGUCCCUUUCGCCAAGCUCCCCGGGGAGGCUGUCUUGUAAGGGGUGCUUCCAUCGCUUGACAUCUCAAGCCUCCCCUGGGGAGGCGUGCAAGACAGCGUCUGCUAGAGUCCGCCAGCCACGCGGGAAGCCCGUGCAAGGUGCUCCUCUCACCACGGCUCCAGCACUUUCCCUGGCUCUUCUCACCCACACCCCUAUACCUCUGGCCUCCACCCUGCCGGCGGAACCUCCAGCUGACUUGACCAGAAUCCCACCGGACACUACUGCCAUGAGCACAGCUCCAGCUCACUCGUGUUGGCCAUUUCCCAACUCAGGCCACGGCCGCGUGAGCUGUCGCGUUGAAACGUUCCUCUCGCGCUGGAACACGAUCCAGGUCUUGUUCUUCCCCGUGCCGGCGCACUUCCAGUCCCAGCAAGGGCACCUGUCCUGCCACCGACCAGUGGCCUCAUUCCGGGGAGGCCCCACACACAGGGAGGGAGAGACCGACAGCCCCUCAGUCGCCAACCCUGACGCGCCAGAAGCUGCUCGAGAUGGAAAUCAGGAAAAGAACACAGACGAAGGCCUGGGAGAAAGAAGAACAAGACGCCCCAGGCAGCCCUCAGAUGCUCGAAGCACCCAGUAUCAUGUCUGGGCCGAAUGUCCGCUGGCGCCCACCCUUCCCGUCCUUGGAGUCGGCUGAGCUGAACGCAAGUGAGGCUCAACCCUUGGCCCUUCCACGGUCUACUUUUCCCUCCUCUGCCACCCGUGAUUCCGGCACCCGCUUGAAGGCCGACAGUGCAGAGUUCUCGGGAAAACCUCUUGAGCCCCACCCAGGAGAGAAACAAAAGACUUUGACCACAAAAGCAUCAGUUCCGCGCCUGGCCCCUCCCCUCCCUUCAACUUCCCCUGUGAGUGAGGAAAACCAGAAGGCCCCGGGAGGGACCCUACCUGGCAAUGGCUGUGGGCCCUCCGAGCCUCUCUGAUGGGACAGCAGGGCCGGCCGCCUUCUCCGAGCUUCGCAUUCAGCCUCUCGGACAGAAAUGG